rnacentral:tRNA from 1 species
GGAGCUGUGGUGUAGUGGUUUAACACACCGGCCUGUCAAGCCGGAGAUCGCGGGUUCGAGUCCCGUCAGCUCCGCCA